CCUACGGGCGGCUGCAGUGGGGAAUAUUGGACAAUGGGCGAAAGCCUGAUCCAGCCAUGCCGCGUGUGUGAAGAAGGCCUUCGGGUUGUAAAGCACUUUCAGUGGGGAAGAAAGCCUUGGGGCUAAUACCCUCGAGGAAGGACAUCACCCACAGAAUAAGCACCGGCUAACUCCGUGCCAGCAGCCGCGGUAAUACGGAGGGUGCGAGCGUUAAUCGGAAUUACUGGGCGUAAAGCGCGCGUAGGCGGUCUGAUAAGCCGGUUGUGAAAGCCCCGGGCUCAACCUGGGAACGGCAUCCGGAACUGUCAGGCUAGAGUGCAGGAGAGGAAGGUAGAAUUCCCGGUGUAGCGGUGAAAUGCGUAGAGAUCGGGAGGAAUACCAGUGGCGAAGGCGGCCUUCUGGACUGACACUGACGCUGGGGUGCGAAAGCGUGGGUAGCAAACAGGAUUAGAUACCCCAUAGUC
rnacentral:rRNA from 1 species